UACGAAGGGGGCUAGCGUUGCUCGGAAUCACUGGGCGUAAAGGGUGCGCAGGCGGUGAUGUAAGACAGGUGUGAAAUCCCCGGGCUUAACCUGGGAACUGCAUUUGUGACUGCAUCGCUGGAGUGCGGCAGAGGGGGAUGGAAUUCCGCGUGUAGCAGUGAAAUGCGUAGAUAUGCGGAGGAACACCGAUGGCGAAGGCAAUCCCCUGGGCCUGCACUGACGCUCAUGCACGAAAGCGUGGGGAGCAAACAGG
rnacentral:rRNA from 1 species